UGAUAGCUUGCCGAGGCCAGUCGAACCCACCUCAUGGGUCAGGGAAUCCGGUGCGAAUCCGGAGCUGACGCGCAGCGGUGAGGGCGACGGGCGGAGCAUCAGCCACUGGACCACCGGGCCCGGGAAGGCGCCCCGCCCGGAUGACCCCGAGUCCGAAAACCUGCUGGCACCUCUGCCCGGCG
rnacentral:ncRNA from 2 species